GUGUCAGCAGCCGCGGUAAGACGAACCGUGCGAACGUUGUUCGGAAUCACUGGGCUUAAAGGGCGCGUAGGCGGGCUGCCAAGUCUGGGGUGAAAUCCUCCGGCUCAACCGGAGAACGGCCUCGGAUACUGGCGGUCUCGAGGGAGGUAGGGGCGUGCGGAACUAAGGGUGGAGCGGUGAAAUGCGUUGAUAUCCUUAGGAACUCCGGUGGCGAAGGCGGCACGCUGGACCUCUUCUGACGCUGAGGCGCGAAAGCCAGGGGAGCAAACGGGAUUAGAAACCCUAGUAGUCC
rnacentral:rRNA from 1 species